CCCCCCAAGCUGGGUUGGAGCUAAGUCAUUCCCUCCCCACUGUGGGGCUGAGUUGGGACUACAUCAGGCUCCCUUCCCCCUCUGUAUGGUUGGAUGGGCUCUGCUGUGACUGUCCUGGGUGCCAGAUUGGGACCACCAACUGGAUCCAGCCCAUGGAUAGCUGGGCACAGCCCAUCCAGCCUGCCAGCCAAAAAGGUUGAGCACCACUGGUUUAGGGCAUCACACUAGGAAUAAGGACCUGAGGUUUACUUUUGGCUUUGUGACUAUGGGCACCUAUACACAAGCGUGGAGGCUGCUCUGACGCAUUGGAAUCCCAGUGCUUUGGAGCAGACUCGAUCAAGUAAUAACCCUAAGAAACAGCAUUAGCAUGUAGGAGGAUUUAAAGUUAGAGUAGUGGUCAACCACAUUUGGCCUGCUGGCUGGAUGCAGCCUACAGAGCCAGAGGGCUUUGCCUAUGCCCAUGCCAGAGCUGGGGCUAGGCAAAUGGAAGCUGUGUCUGCAUCACCACCAUUUCUCGCCACCCUCUGCUCUGCUCCUUGGCUGCAGUGCAGGAACAGCAUCCAGCUGGUGGGGAACUGACCUGGGGCUUCCCACUGUGCCUGCACUGCAGCUGGGGGGUAGAAAGAAGCAGCUUCAGCAUCCAGCUGCCCAGCCCUAAUUCAGUCCCUCCCCAGCUGGAAGUUGUGCCCGUAUUGCAGCUGGGGAGUAGGGGAUGGGGAGAAGUGAGAGUGGCACAGGCACAGCUCCCAACUGUCCCCUACCCUUGGCCCAGUUCAGUUUCCCACUGGCUGAAAGCUGUAUUUGCACCCUGACCAACGAGCAAUGUUGGGGCUAGGAGGAGUGGUAGUGCCUGGCCCUGGUGUGGGUGCUGGCAAAUCCCCCUGCUGCUGAGACAUCAGCAGAGCCACUCAGCCUGCAUCAGAUUGGGGCUGGGUUGUUCCAGCCUGCGGCUUGAAAAGGUUCCUGGCCCCUAUAUCAUUUAAAGCUCUGCAGACUGCUUUUAGAGCACACCCUCUGAUCAUUCAGCAUGUGUUUGCAUUAUUAUUCUAGUGGCAUGUUCUUAAUUAAAAUAUAGAGGUUGAUAGCAAAGUUGAUACCACUGUCAAUGAGUUUUCCAUUUUAGAGAAUGAAGCCAGAUUAGAAAAAUAGGCCAUGGAGUUUUUAAAAACAAUUAUUUUUAUCCAAGGUCUAGAAUGACCCUUUGCCAUAUGAAUGAUGAUAUCACACCAUAAUAUGGGAGACUUUGGUAAGAGAAUCUUUGUUGACUGGAAGUGGAACUUUCUACUUGCUAAAAUCAAUAUUAGUUUAAGGGUAGGGCUCCAGAUUAGUUGCAAAAAGUUAUUGCUGUGUUAUUUAGAAAGGCAAAUAGUACAUCUUAGAACAACACUGAAAAAGCUCAUCCCUAUAAGUUUUCUGACACACAGAAGGAAUUUUUUUGAGUGAUCUAAAAUCAUUGUUUUGUGAAAUACUAUUGUUUAUGCUUGCAAAGCUCUUACAUUUGGCUGGUUGCAUAAAUAGUUGUACAGCUGGUGCUCUGCAGCAAUACUUAAUUGUUUCAGUGUGACCAAAUUAAGUUUUAUAUGUGAAUCCUAACUUUAACCCUGGUAAUCAGAAAACACUCUGACAUAUCUUACUCACUAUAAUUCUUGUUUUGUUCUGGUGUUUUUAUAGAGUUGUCUGUCCCCCCCUCCCCACAUGAGUCAUGGGCAUAGUGUGAUUUCUGAAGGGGAAAAGAAAACAACACUACCUCCCAGAAACAAUUUAUGUUAAAUUCCUGCUUCCCCAAACUUAUGGCAAUGCAUAUUCCAGUGGACUUUUAUAUAAUGGCUUAAACAAAAAUGAGAUCCAGAUCGUAAUAGCCUCAAAGAAGGAGUUUAUCAACACAUGCUGCAAGGAGUGGGUGGAAGAAUUUGUUGGAGUAGAAGAUUUGGUAAUGUGUGCACCCUACCUAGAAAUCAGAUAUGGUGAUGCUUCUGUUUAAAGUGGUGACACAGAAUUAGAGCCAGAAACUGAUGAAUGUGAAAACCCCCCUUUUGUGUUGUUUAUCCUCCGAAAAAAAAAAAUUCCAGCUCUGCUUUAACUCUUUUUUUGCUUAAUUUCUUCUCCUUCCAGGAACAUUAAGUUGUUGGAACCAUGUUUUUUUUCGAUACAGUCAACAACUGGAGGAAAAAAAUUGUAAGAACCCAAACCUAUCUUAUGUUACAGUCUGGCCACAUGGAGUUCCAAGGCGCAACUAAGAGCAAUAUUUAACCCACUCCAUGCACAGUUAUUGUUGUCCCUAUUUUAAGAAAGUGUCUUUUGGCUUUGGUAUCUGUAGAAGGCAAAUUUACGUACUUAACUGGCUACCAAUUAUAAUAUUGUUUGAUACUUGCAUGAUUAUGAACCUGUUCCAAUGAAACCAAUGGGAAUAUUGCCAUUGGCUAAGGCAACACUGGGUCUUAUAUCUUCAACAUUGUUUUAUAGAAUUUUAAUUAAUUCUGACAAUACUUUUGUGAUGUAAGUAGCAUCCCCAUUUUACAGAUGACAAAUGGAUGCAUGCAGACCAGAUGUGUGACACCAAGUAAGGCCAUAGUUGAACCAGCCCUUGAAUUCAUGUGUUCCUAGCUCUCAGUUUUGUGCUCUGUAAACUCAGUCAUGUUGAAUACCUAAAAUGCUUCCUUCUCCCCUCCUCCUUCAUUCUGUGCUUUCCCCCUUUUCUUGCAGGGCUAUCCUCCUGGUGACUUCCACACCCAUGUAAUGAGAGAUUAUCCUGUUGCAAGUACAGUGCCUCGUUUACCUUUUAUGGAAGAAAGUGUGGAAAAUUGACCACAGAUACAGGUAUCUCUGUUGUGCAGCGCGUGGACUUGGAAGACACAGUGCUUAAACAGAACAAAAGAAAAUUGCUACAAAUGAAAGCAAUAAAUCCCUGUUUUAUAAAGUC